rnacentral:tRNA from 1 species
GGCUGGGUAGCUCAGUUGGUUAGAGCGCAGGACUCAUAAGCCUGAGGUCGAGGGUUCGACACCCUCCCCAGCUA